rnacentral:tRNA from 1 species
GAUGGUAUAGCUCAAGCGGUAGAGCACAUGCUUAGCAUGACAAGGUCCUGGGUUCAAUCCCCAGUACCUCCU